GUGCAGCAGGCGCGAAACCUUUGCAAUGCGGGAAACCGCGACAAGGGAACUCCGAGUGUCUGCACCUAGUGCAGACUUUUCAGACGCCUAAAAAGCAUCUGGAAUAAGGGCCGGGUAAGACGGGUGCCAGCCGCCGCGGUAACACCCGCGGCCCGAGUGGUGGUCGCUAUUAUUGGGUCUAAAGGGUUCGUAGCCGGCCCGGCAAGUCCUUUGGGAAAUCCGACAGCUCAACUGUCGGGCUUCUAAGGGAUACUACUGGGCUUGGGACCGGGUGAGGGUAGAGGUACUCCGGGGGUAGCGGUGAAAUGCUGUAAUCCUUGGGGGACCACCAGUGGCGAAGGCGUCUAUCCAGAACGGGUCCGACGGUGAGGGACGAAAGCUAGGGGCGCAAACGGGAUUAGAUACCCCGGUAGUCC
rnacentral:rRNA from 1 species